rnacentral:rRNA from 1 species
UACGUAGGGUGCAAGCGUUAAUCGGAAUUACUGGGCGUAAAGCGUGCGCAGGCGGUCAUGCAAGACAGAUGUGAAAUCCCGGGCUCAACCUGGGAACUGCAUUUGUGACUGCAUGGCUGGAGUGCGGCAGAGGGGGAUGGAAUUCCGCGUGUAGCAGUGAAAUGCGUAGAUAUGCGGAGGAACACCGAUGGCGAAGGCAAUCCCCUGGGCCU